GGGGGAUUAGCUCAAUGGUCAGAGCAGGGCGCUCAUAACGCCUUGGUUGGGGGUUCAAGUCCCUCAUCCCCUA
rnacentral:tRNA from 3 species